rnacentral:pre_miRNA from 1 species
AAUAAGUUUAUUUAUGGGUUACUGUGUCUAAUAUUUGACCGUAUGUCUUAUUUGGUAUUUUUAUUAUUAGUAUUUUUAUAUUAUUAAAUAAUAAAAUAUGAAUAAUACUUUAUGCGUGACUUUUUUUAAAUAAGAUGGACAAUCAAACGUUGAACAUAGAAACCUACCAAUAAACUUUUU